UUACCCCUCGAAAACCUUCUCUGCUCGCACCAAAGAGAUAGUCUCAGCCACUAUGGUUCACUCACAGUCAUAUCGAAUUACACCACACAAAAUAAACAAUUUACAGUCUCUUACCCGAGAUGCUUUUACUGCCACCGGGUUCUUUCUGAUCUCAGCCGAGUCACUCUGGCCCUGAAAGCAGUUUUGGCUCUUCUCUCUCAAUUUUCGAGGUAAGACCAGAGCUUGGUGCUCUGAGAUGAUCACUUCGUCAAAUCCGCUCAGGACCAGAAGAAACCGCCGUGAGAUCCCACUUCUGACACCAAAUUGUUGUGGCAAAAACAAUUACUAACAAAAUAGCAUCACAGAGUAAGAGACAAGGAAUCAAAUUAUAUUUAAGGAAAGAAGUUUAUUUUCCUUAAAGAGGUAUGUUCAUAAUGUUUCAGCAGCUACCCUGAAACACAACAGACCUGAAAUCACAUUGAAAGCAGACAGUCUUAUUAUACUGUUAUCACCCCCACUUCUUACAAGUUUUCCUUCUCUGUAAAUUUCCACUUAAUCUCGUAAACCAAACCUAGCUGUUUUCAGAAAAAACAAUGGUCCUUCUAACCCCCUGGGCUUUUAUUAUCUUCACAUCUGUGAGGUCAACAACCCCUCUGUCUUUCCUGCACUAAAGAGUUCAAAGGCUCUUUCUGACCAUUUGUUUUUACUGUGUGUUUGUGUGCCUUCACACCCGUGAGGCCAAAAGUACUAACCCCUCUGUCUUUCCUGAUUAAAUUACCUCAGCAAAACUUGGAAUGGCCCUCGCCACCGUUUCGCCUUCCAGUUCUUCCUCCUCAGGUCACGAAUUACCACGUAAUCCCCCGGCCUGAUCUUAUGCAGAAACGUCUCAGCAACCUUCCUCUGGGCAGCUUUCACCUGCACAGAAAUGUUGGAUAACAGACAA